AGUGGAGAGGAAAACGGUCCCCACGGGCGGACUUUGGCUUCUGGAGCCGCGGAGCCCAGCGGUCCGGGCCUCCCCGAGCUCCGCCUGGUCCAAGAGUGACUUGGGAGAGCUGGCUCCAGGAGGCGGACCUCGGCCUAGUUUGCUGGCUGGAAUAGAGCUCUAUUUCGAGGCAAUCAAUCAAUCUGCAGAAAACAAAAAUGGAAGUCGAGGUUUGGGAAGAGUUGUCUCAUCCCCAACUUGAGUGGUGCGGGCUGGGGGCGGAGACUCGGGACUGAUGAGAAGCCCUUUUUCCCACCUCAGCUCCUUUCCCUGGACUUCCAGAAGGAAGAAUUACCCUCUUCAGCCCCCUUGUUCCCCAUACCCAUCCCCGCGUGGCCGCCGAUACUUUUCCGCCCCUCUUUUUCCUUUCAAGCGAGAAAAGCCUAAUUCCCGAGCCAGUGGAGUCGGUCCUCUCGCCCCUCCCGCUCCCACGCGGGUCCCCCUCUUCAGCCAUCGCUACUGCCACCACCUCGGUUCCACUCAAUCGAUUUUUGCUGCAUGUCAACACUUAUUACCGAAAAAAGAGAGAGAGAAAUAAAGAAGAAGGGGAAAGAAAGAAAAAGAAAAAGUCCCGCCUGCGAAUUCUAGGCUGCUGCUCAGCGGCGUGAAGCUCCGCUCCCCAGCCCGGAAUCUUCUUUGCCCUUGCAGCAUCCCCCCAACCCCCGCCUUCUCAACUUCCCAGCUCCAGGGGACCGCAGUCUGGACAUCUGACCAGGAUCUUCUGGACCCAGCGGUUCUGCGGGAGCCACGCGGCCCAACUCUUAGAAGAACCCAGGGUGCCACGGUUCCACCUGAACUUGCCUCGCCUUCGGCCUCACUGAACUGUGACUGGGGCACACUCCAGUCCUACCGCCUUCUACUGACCAGAACAGCUGCUUUAUCUUAAUGUUCAUUUUUUUGGCCGGGCAACAAGGGAGAAGGGCGAUGGCAAGACGUGCUGCUUCGCAUUACCCUGACGCUAUUUUCAGAGGCGCCCGGAGAAGUGGCGGCCCAGAAGGCAACCCACGCACCUCCGAGGAUCCCUUUCGUGUCCCCGCACUAGUGUUUGCACGUCCCUCGGGACGAUAACUCCCGAACCUAAUCCUCAGCUGCCGCCGCGCGCCCACCUCCCUCCGGCGUCCCCGAGCCGAAGCGCCAGGCUAGCAUCGCCACCGGGUCGUUGGGGCAGCACAGAGCCGCCCCGAGGUCGCUCCGGGGCGAAGCACCCGCCCCCGCGUCCGCGCUCUCGUCGCCCCCCGGCACACGCUGCUCUCCGCUCAGGCUGCGGCGUCGUGGGCGGUCAGGGCCCAGGCUGAGCUUUGCCUGUUGGCUGUGCCUCAGGGGCGCCUGCCGGCCCGGGCCGCGGAGAGCUUGGUUUCUCCGCAGUCUCGGGAGUCGGCCCAGGGAGGCCCAGGCCGGAGCAGCGCCCCGCCCCACCCGCCGACUCCCCGCCACAACCCUCCUCACCCUCUCUCGGGCUUCUGUGCCUUCAUUCCCGAGCGGCCAUAUACCUUGAAUGGGUCAUCCCUGCCUGCCUCCCGAGAGCUGCCUCUCGAAGCCCUAGGGUUGAACAUUAACCAGCCAGAGCUAUAGAGUGGAGUAAAACGUUACAUAUAAAAAUGAAUCAUCUAUCCGAUCCUGGGAGAGAGGACCUAUAGCGAGCUCUGCGCCAAGAGCUGCCCUGGCAAUGUUCCCGGCCCAAUGCACAGACCCUUCUGGCAUCCACUUCCUAGGGAUCAUUCGCCUGCCGGCCCGUGAGCUUAGGUGGAGGCGGGGGAGAUGGGGGUCAUCGAACCAGCCGUUCUCCUUGAGUAACCUGAUGUUUGAGCUUUCAAACGCAAGCGAAUUUCCUUUCCUUUCACACCUGAGGUACACAGAAAGUCCUGGAACAGCCUUUCGUAUCUUAAAAUUAGCGAGAGUAGCUGAAGUUCUAGGAGAGGCUGCCUACAUGGUCAAGAACCCAAACUGAUGGGUCGACUCCGGGAAUCCACCACCAGCCCUGGCGCACUGGAUGGACCCUGGGAGGCAGGGCUGGGUGGGACGUGAGUGGAGCGGGAGCCCUCUGCAAGUCAGGCUGGAGCCUGAGUGGAGGCGCAAGGUGGGCGGUGCAAGGGGCGGGGGUGGGGGCUGCUCCUCCCCCGGGCUGAACCCUUACACACGGUCCUACGGAAAUCCGAAGCUCAGGUCCCACCCCGACUCCCCUCUCCAGGGCGCAGCCUGUUUCCCACUCUGACUUAUUUAUUUCUUUAAAUGUAAGUACUGGCUAGACCCACUUGCCCCGUCAAAUACAAAGAAUUUAUGAAAAGGUAACUACGGGGAAAGAAUUCAGGAUUAGUGCACCUCCUGAGUUCUUUUGCCCUUACCUGGAAACAUUAGCAUGUCGUGGUGUUCAGCAAAUCCCUGAAGAGAAAGGUCAUUCUGUUUCCAAAUCUCUCACACCCUUUGUUGAACCUCUCUCCCUUCCCCUCUCCCCUAUUCAAGGAAAGAGAUAAAGAAGGUGCUAGCAAGAGAAGGAUGUAAUGUUAUAUAAAGCUUUCGGGAGCUGCCAACCAACCUGCAGAGUAAUUCGCCUACUUCUAAGGCAGAUUGGCUUAUUUCUAUCCACAAUAGUUGCUUUACUCAAAACACAGUGCCUGGACUAUAAUAACUUCCUAGUAAAGAUUUAUUGAGCGGGCAACACCCUGACUCCCCACCUUGGACUCUAUCUAUGACCUGGUCAUUGAAGCAACAUAACUUUUUU